UUUUACUUUUGUCCCAUUCAUCGUUCUGGGGCUGUAUAAAUUGUCCGCUAACGAGCCGUGAAAUUUAUCGCGAAAUAUCUAUAACUGACUGCUGGAACUUGUGCUGGUGGUUUUGAGUUCGAGAGCCCACAGGGAAAAGUAACACAAAACAGUGAGGCAUCCCAAAGCUAGUUCAAGCCAAAAAAAAAAGAAUGCCAGUUCCAGUGAAAUGUUGCGCUCCAUUAGUUUGCUUGAAGCUGUGCGCUUCAUCACAAUUUAGUGGCGUUCGCGUUUUGUAUGGCACGCGGCAAAGCUAUUUUUCUUUAAGUCGCAGCACACACAGUGUUGCCAUAUAAUACAAUAUCGACUAAGACUUCGACAUCACCGAGGUAUGAUUGUUUAGCUGUUCGAAUGCGUUUUGUAUUUCACCUCAUUGUGCAGUGAAGCCAAUAAAUUAAUGGGAUGGGCUGGGUUGGCUUUAGCUUUAGCUGCCUGGCAGUCGAUUCCAAUUCAAUUUUUGAGGUGAAGACACACAUCGACUUCAAAAGGAAAGUACCUACCUUCUUGCCUACCUCCUUGAUUUUGUUGUUUUUCUUUUCCCAGAGCAAAGAAGGUCUUCUAUAAAGAGAGGUAUUUCUUAUACCUGCUAAGUAACACGGUUAAACUUUCAAAGCGAAAAAGUUAUUUUUCGAUUGUUGCGGUGGGACUUAACACUUGCAGGAACUACCGCAUGUGUUAUUGGAAGUUGCAUCUGUAACACCGAGUCAACUAUAGGAAUAAGAAGGGAAAGGCUCCAGGAACAUCAGAGGGCACUAUAAUGUACCUACCACUUCCACCUCUGAUCGUCGCUACCAAAUGUGUGGAUUUGUGAAAGGGCAAUCAGAUGAUAAUCUUUAAAUUAAAUGAAUGGGCAACUAGCGAGCUGGCGUUAUGGCUUACAAUUCUACAAGUCCAACAAACCAGAUCGCAAUUUUCCAAUUAAUAAAUAUCAAGUGCCCGCCAUUAUUGAACAAGUUGUUGUUAACACGAAAACGCUUGAAAAUAUUCUUCAUAUUUAUGGCUUCUAAACACCCACCUGAGCUGAGCUGAGCUGAGAGGAGUUGAGCAAUCAAGUGAACUACUUCAACUAAAUGCUGUACAAAAACAAAAAAAAAAGCAAGAGCAAGAACCAAGCGGUAUGGGGCUUAAUUGAGCUGCAAGUUCGAAGCAAUUUAAGUAUAAGACAAAAUUCUAUUCGGCCCAUAAAAAUCAUAUCUUUACACACCUCUGCCCAUAAAAUCGAUGCAAUGCAAUCCAAGGGAGGUUGUAGACAUAUACAUACACGUAGGUAUAUACACAGACAAUUGGCAAAAAGUAAUUAUGAUUAAAAUUGGAAUUUAUUGAAUGACUGAACAAACGCGGAUUAAAACAUCCUUCGGGUCCGCCCCCUUUUUGAACAAUUUCGAUUUGUAAUAAAAUAAUUUCCCGUCAUCAUCGGUCGAAACGAUCUUUAAAAAGGCGGACAGAAUGGACAAAACUGGCAUUGCACAUCGGAGAUGGUGAGAAGGGGAAGGGAAUGCAUCGAGAGGUUUGAGUCCUGUGAAACUCCUCCAAGCCACAUCGAGAAAUGAAGUCACGACCAAAUUCGAGACUUUUUUUUAGUUGGAUUGAGAAUGGAAAUGCUGCAUGAAACGCUCACCUCAAUCCAGAUCCAGCUAGCCGUCUCUAUAUUCUUUCUGAUGGCUGACCUUUUUUUUAUCUUGACGGGUAAUUAAAGGCGGACUUGGAGCUCGCCUCGAAGUUCAUUUGGCUCGUACUUGGGAGAUCCGGUGCUGAUUGCUGCGGAUUCAGGUGUUUUUGAGGUUCUUUUUAUUUUGUCCGUUUGUCCAUGUUUCAAGAUGCGUGUCAGUUCCGUAUAUGCAAGAAAAUUAACACCCCAAAAGUUGGAAAUUAAGGCGCGAAAUGAGGAUAUUAGGAAGGCUAUUUCUUAUGAUGGAGCGCCUCGCACAUACAACAGCAGGCAGGCCAAAAGCGAAAGAAAGAACGUUCCAUGAUGUGGAUUUUCUUAACGCGACGGUAAUUUCUUCGAUCUUGAUAAGAAAGUCCAAGUCAAGUGAAACUCAAACCAUUACAGCAAAACACAAAAAGAAAAGAAUUAAACCAAAUCCUUUAGUUUAUGACCAACACCAAACUGAGAGGAAGGAUAAUAAUUUCAUUUGUGCGAUUAUUUGCAUUCUUACUGCGGAUAAACACGGAUAUGUUUUGUGUUGUGUUGUGGGGAUGGAUAUGCAGAGGAUAAGGAAGGAACAAGUUGGUUAUUAGUUUUGUUGUUGUUUUACUUUUUGUUCAAAAUGAAAAACGGGACGACUUGAAUAAAAGGAGACCGCUCUUGAGCCGCCAAAAAACGUUCUUAAAUUUAAUUAGAUUGUCGGCUUCGAUUGUGGAAUGUUUAAGAUUGAAUUGUGGAAUGCAAUUAAUCGAGAAGAUUGAGUUUACAAAAAAAAAACACAUAUAUUCAAAAAAUUCGGAUUAAAUUUGAGGGAGCACUGAGGUGAGUGCAUGAGUGUAACUGUUAUAGCGGCAAGUCUGGUUAUUGAUCUUUGAUAUUAAACAAAACAAAAAAAUUAAAAUUAAAUUAUUUUUUAUUGCUUGAGGCUGUUCUAAGAAUUGUUUGGGUCUCACAUAAAUUUUAAUUUUUUUUCUUGUUUGUUUGAUUACGACUUAAACAAAGUAAAGGUCAUAAACUUU